GUGACCUGCAGGACAGGGUGUGAGGGGAGAAGGUGCAGUGUCACUCUGCCACCGUGUUUGCCCAGGCCCAAGCAGAGCUGUGUCUCUCAGAGAUGGGAAGAGCUUUCCUGAAAGGUGGUCUGUGGCUGUGGUUUUGAGGUCCAUAUCGUGUGGGACCAGAGGCAGAGAUCUCCCUGUGCAGUCAGUGCAGAGGAUGUUGGAUUUCCUGUGCCCACCUGUCUCUGGCUGGAUCCAGCUCCCAAGAGUCCGUGGGAUCUGUGUGGAUGCCACUUGGUUGGUUCUGUGAAGAAAAGCUUCUUCCAGUGUUUCAUUUCCUCUCUGCUUUUCAGUGCUGCAGCUAAACACAAGCUAGAUUUCCACGGAGAGGGUAAGAAUUUUAAAUGAAAGUAACUAUAAUUCUGUGUGUCAUUUGUGGUUCCAUCCAAAGACUGAAUAAAGUGUAGUAUAAGGACCA
rnacentral:lncRNA from 1 species